rnacentral:rRNA from 1 species
ACGCUCGACACCUACGGGAAGCAGCAGUCGGGAAUAUUGCGCAAUGGAGGAAACUCUGACGCAGUGACGCCGCGUAUAGGAAGAAGGUUUUCGGAUUGUAAACUAUUGUCGUUAGGGAAGAGAAAGGACAGUACCUAAGGAGGAAGCUCCGGCUAACUACGUGCCGGCAGCCGCGGUAAUCUGAGCGGGCUGGCAAGGC